rnacentral:piRNA from 1 species
UAGAAGAUAUGAUUGGGGUCCUAAUUGAA